AUUGAACGCUGGCGGAAUGCUUUACACAUGCAAGUCGAACGGCAGCACGGGGGCAACCCUGGUGGCGAGUGGCGAACGGGUGAGUAAUACAUCGGAACGUGCCCAGUCGUGGGGGAUAACGUAGCGAAAGCUACGCUAAUACCGCAUACGAACUCUGGUUGAAAGCGGGGGAUCGCAAGACCUCGCGCGAUUGGAGCGGCCGAUGGCAGAUUAGGUAGUUGGCGGGGUAAAGGCCUACCAAGCCGACGAUCUGUAGCUGGUCUGAGAGGACGACCGGCCAGAGUGGGACUGAGACACGGCCCAGAGUCCGACGGGAGGGAGCAGUGGGGAAUUUUGGACAAUGGGCGCAAGCCUGAUCCAGCAAUGCCGCGUGCAGGAUGAAGGCCUUCGGGUUGUAAACUGCUUUUGUACGGAACGAAACGGCGGGCUCUAAUACAGUUUGCUAAUGACGGUACCGUAAGAAUAAGCACCGGCUAACUACGUGCCAGCCGCCGCAGUAA
rnacentral:rRNA from 1 species